AGGGGGACCGCCUGAUCUUGGGCUGUGUUCCCCAGUGCCCUGGGCUCUGGGGCCUGCACUGCUGGAAUCGUGCUCCCGGGGCGCACAGCCCCCU
rnacentral:pre_miRNA from 1 species